rnacentral:lncRNA from 1 species
GCAUUGCACCUCCCUUGGGAAUAUCUUCCUUAAAUGAUUUUUGAGGGCCCAUCAAUAAUUCAUAUUGCUAUAGGAUACAUUUUAAAAGAAGAGGUAAUUAUGGAUAUGACUAUUAAAGAUGCCUUUCACUAAUGGAUUAAUUCAUGAAUGAAUCAGGAGCCACAACUGCUUCAUUAUAGACAUCAUAGAACCAGGGAUUUGUCUGGAGUGAGGAGGUAGUAAUAUGAAUGAAAGAUGUAAGGCUGGCUAUUUCUGAAAGACAAGGGUCAUCCCACCAUUACAUUUCUAAUUAGAGAGUGACCUGUGAUGCCAUAAGCCAUAUUGAAAGAGCUGUGAAAUAAUUCAUAAAUAAUGAAAUCUUCCAAACCCUGAUGGAAUUACAUAAUGCACAAAGGUGCAACACUCCUGGGAAAGACACUCAGUGGUCACAUUUCCUUAUUCCAAAAAUUCAAAUUCUCUCUCUCUCUCUCUCUCUCUCUCUCUCUCUCUAACUGUCCUCACACUCCCUAUGUAGCCAAGGAUGACUAAACUUCUGAUUCUAAAUGGUAAGAUUAUAGGCAUACAGCAUCAUACUCAAUUCAUUUUUUCAUAUAUGUUAAAUAAAACCAUGCCCCUAAUUCAGCAGCUCUCAUAUUUAUAAAGAUCAGCGUGUAGGAUAAGUGGGCAUACAGACACAUCCUAGGUAGAGCACAACCUCCAAGAAAGGUUGAAUGUUGUAACUAAAAGUCUCCAUGGUUCAUGAGCCUGUUUCUUACCAAUUUCAUUGUUCUUCUUUAUCUUCCACUGUCCCUCACUUAUCAUUCUUACUUUAGUGACUUCACUAUAUCCUCCACAUUUACCCAGGAGGUGGGGAAAACAGGAAUUCUGGAUGUAGCCUGAACCAUGUGUUAAUGCGAACAGUGACCAGUGGUUCUAUGACUGUACUGGAUUGCAGAGGCACAGGCAGUACAGUGGUAAGUGUGGCUCACAAGAGAGCAGGUAGUGUUCUCUGGGUCUGAUCUCCACAUAAUUCCUCAAAGCACACAUGCUAGGAAAUGGGAAAAGCUGAGGUGAUGAACAGAGCAAGUGGUAUCUGUCCAGGAAAGUCACUCGGAUGUUCCUUCUGAUGAACCCUGGAACAAACUUGUUAGUCUUUCAAAAAACUUAUAUUUUUAUUUCUUUAUUGUGCAUGGCUGCAUGCCUCUAAUUGGUGAAUGCCAGACAUUGAAAGCCUCUGUCUCAAACAAACAAUAAAUGUGGAUGGUUCCCAAAGAAUGGUAUCUAAGGUUUUCCUAAGGCUGACCUGAACAUGUAUGCAUACAUAUAUCCACAUGUAUGUCCUGUAACCCCACACUUACUUAUGCACACACAUU